rnacentral:rRNA from 1 species
UGCGUAGGCGGCUUUCUAAGUUGGAUGUGAAAACUCUGGGCUCAACCCAGAGCCUGCAUCCAAAACUGGAGAGCUAGGGUUCUGGAGGGGAAAGCGGAACUCCUGGUGUAGCGGUGAAAUGCGUAGAUAUCAGGAGGAACACCGGUGGCGAAGGCGGCUUUCUGGACAGAUACCGACGCUGAGGCACGAAAGCUAGGGGAGCAAACA